GACGAACGCUGGCGGCAUGCCUAAUACAUGCAAGUCGAGCGAACAGAUGAAGUGCUUGCACUUCUGACGUUAGCGGCGAACGGGUGAGUAACACGUAAGGAAUCUACCUAUAAGCGGGGGAUAACAUUCGGAAACGGGUGCUAAUACCGCAUAAUAUCUUCUUCCGCAUGGAAGAAGAUUGAAAGACGGCUCUGCUGUCACUUAUAGAUGACCUUGCGGUGCAUUAGUUAGUUGGUGGGGUAAUGGCAUACCAAGACGAUGAUGCAUAGCCGACCUGAGAGGGUGAUCGGCCACAUUGGGACUGAGACACGGCCCAAACUCCUACGGGAGGCAGCAGUAGGGAAUCGUCCGCAAUGGGCGAAAGCCUGACGGAGCAAUGCCGCGUGAGUGAAGAAGGCCUUCGGGUCGUAAAACUCUGUUAUAAGAGAAGAACAAAUUGUAGAGUAACUGCUACAGUCUUGACGGUAUCUUAUCAGAAAGCCACGGCUAACUACGUGCCAGCAGCCGCCGUAA
rnacentral:rRNA from 1 species